GUGUGUGUUAAUUUGUAUGUAGUUUGUCUUCACUAGAAGAUAUCAUAAACAAAUUCUGAAAAUAAAUUGGUUUGUCAGAAUAGUUACUGUAGUCGUGCAAAGUAAAUUGUUAUUUAUGACAAUAAUUAAGUCAAUGCUUGAGGCUUUAGUUGUAACUGGUAGGUAAAAUAAUGGUUCUUAGUUCCAAAGUGAAGGGGGAAAUUUGUGUGUCUGUGUAAAAGGUUUAUGUUUGGGUGGG